rnacentral:tRNA from 1 species
GUUGGGUUGUGGCUCAGUGUUAGAGUAUUUGCCUAGCAUGCAUGAGGCAUUGGGUUAGAUCCUCAGCCCCCACA